rnacentral:tRNA from 1 species
GUCCUCGUAGCUCAGCUGGAUAGAGCGACUGCCGACCCCUCCCCCAUAUACGUGUAGGUCACAGGUUCGACUCCUGUCGAGGACG